CCCUCCCGGGGGACUGCAAUUAGGGGAUAUUUAAUCCUGUCACCUGGUUCAUUUGCAGUGAUGGAUUUGGACUAGAGAGCUGAGUGGCGCCAAGAGGAUAUUGGAUUACCAGGGCCCAUCCCCUUCACCCCUCAAAGAGAGCUGUCCUGCCCCUGCCCAGCACCUGCCUUCCCUGGCCCCAAGACAUCCAGUGCUGUCCAGCCCGGCCUUCAGACUAUUGCUGUGAGCUGCUUCAAUGUCACCUGGGCCGCCCCACCUGCCAGCACCUCCAGAUGCCACUGUGAGUUGGAUCCUGGUGCACUGCUCACUGUUGUACCACCAACUCCAGGCUCUCAUCAAAGAUGAUACAGAAUGAAAUUCCGUUGGCGGCUGUAUGUGCGGGAGUGCGCAAAAGUAUUUAUGAAUCCUAAAUGAAGCUG